GACGAACGCUGGCGGCGUGCCUAAUACAUGCAAGUAGAACGCUGAAGAGAGGAGCUUGCUCUUCUUGGAUGAGUUGCGAACGGGUGAGUAACGCGUAGGUAACCUGCCUGGUAGCGGGGGAUAACUAUUGGAAACGAUAGCUGAUACCGCAUAAAAUUGAUUAUUGCAUGAUAAUUAAUUGAAAGAUGCAACUGCAUCACUACCAGAUGGACCUGCGUUGUAUUAGCUAGUUGGUGAGGUAACGGCUCACCAAGGCGACGAUACAUAGCCGACCUGAGAGGGUGAUCGGCCACACUGGGACUGAGACACGGCCCAGACUCCUACGGGAGGCAGCAGGAGGGAAUCGUCGGCAAUGGGGGGAACCCUGACCGAGCAACGCCGCGUGAGUGAAGAAGGUUUUCGGAUCGUAAAGCUCUGUUGUAAGAGAAGAACGGGUGUGAGAGUGGAAAGUUCAUACUGUGACGGUAUCUUACCAGAAAGGGACGGCUAACUACGUG
rnacentral:rRNA from 1 species